rnacentral:rRNA from 1 species
CCUUUACACACAGUGUUUUUUGUUAUUACAAGAACUUUUGCUUUGGUCUGGACUAGAAAUAGUUUGGGCCAGAGGUUUACUGAACUAAACUUCAAUAUUUAUAUUGAAUUGUUAUUUAUUUAAUUGUCAAUUUGUUGAUUAAAUUCAAAAAAUCUUCAAAACUUUCAACAACGGAUCUCUUGGUUCUCGCAUCGAUGAAGAACGCAGCGAAAUGCGAUAAGUAAUAUGAAUUGCAGAUUUUCGUGAAUCAUCGAAUCUUUGAACGCACAUUGCGCCCUCUGGUAUUCCAGAGGGCAUGCCUGUUUGAGCGUCAUUUCUCUCUCAAACCUUCGGGUUUGGUAUUGAGUGAUACUCUUAGUCGAACUAGGCGUUUGCUUGAAAUGUAUUGGCAUGAGUGGUACUGGAUAGUGCUAUAUGACUUUCAAUGUAUUAGGUUUAUCCAACUCGUUGAAUAGUUUAAUGGUAUAUUUCUCGGUAUUCUAGGCUCGGCCUUACAAUAUAACAAACAAGUUUGACCUCAAAUCAGGUAGGAUUACCCGCUGGACCUUAAGCAUAUC